rnacentral:rRNA from 1 species
CAAAGGACCUUCAAACUCCAGUCAGUAAACGCAGACGUCUGAUAAACAAGUUAAUAAACUAAAACUUUCAACAACGGAUCUCUUGGUUCUGGCAUCGAUGAAGAACGCAGCGAAAUGCGAUAAGUAAUGUGAAUUGCAGAAUUCAGUGAAUCAUCGAAUCUUUGAACGCACAUUGCGCCCCUUGGUAUUCCGGGGGGCAUGCCUGUUCGAGCGUCAUUACAACCCUCAAGCUCUGCUUGGAAUUGGGCACCGUCCUCACUGCGGACGCGCCUCAAAGACCUCGGCGGUGGCUGUUCAGCCCUCAAGCGUAGUAGAAUACACCUCGCUUUGGAGCGUGUUGGCGUCGCCCGCCGGACGAACCUUCUGAACUUUUCUCAAGGUUGACCUCGGAUCAGGGUAGGGA